rnacentral:rRNA from 1 species
AUUGAACGCUGGCGGCAGGCCUAACACAUGCAAGUCGAACGAGUGGCGGACGGGUGAGUAAUGUCUGGGAAACUGCCCGAUGGAGGGGGAUAACUACUGGAAACGGUAGCUAAUAUCCCGUACCAUCGGAUGUGCCCAGAUUGGAUUGGCUUGGAGGUGAGGUAACGGCUCACCUAGGCGACGAUCCCUAGCUGGUCUGAGAGGAUGACCAGCCAAACUGGAACUGAGAAACGGUCCAGACUCCUACGGGAGGCAGCAGUGGGGAAAAUUGGACAAUGGGCGGAAGCCUGAAGCAGCCAUGCCGCGUGUAUGAAGGAGGCCCUCGGGUUGUAAAGUACUUUUAGCGGGGAGGCGUUACCCGCAGAAGAAGCACCGGCUAACUCCGUGCCAGCCGCCGCGGUAAUAC